AAUACCACAGAAAAGCAAGUUGUUCCACGAAAUUGGUAAUAAGUCACUACUAGUAACCACGAAGCAUUGAAAUGGAUUUAGACGGAAAUGCGCUCAUGACUUUCCUAUUUUUUUGCACCCUUUUUUACAACGUUAACACACAACCGAGAAGUAAUGUUUACAAGGAAUAUAAUUGCUAUAUGCAUAAGAUUUCUGAAGGCUGCCUGCAUGCGGACUGCUCAGGUAAUGCAGGCUCUAUCGAUUGGAUUGGUCUGGGGAAGAUACACAAUUUGUGUAGUUUAAAUAUAUCAUACAAUAGGCUUAGGUCCUUACCACCCGAGCUCUUUGAUCUACCUCUGUUCAUAGAUCUUAAAUAUAUUGAUGCAUCCCACAACUAUAUUGAACACAUACACCCCGCAAUUAGCGACCGGUUUGUACAAUUAAACGUAUCCCACAAUCACAUAAGCGAUUUGCCCAAAGUGACGAAAAAUUUCACCACAUUAAAGCAUCUUGAUGUUAGUUAUAACAAUUUGACAUCCAUUGGCAUGUUGAAUACUGACUUGGCCCUAAAUAUCACAUCGAAGGGGAAUCCAAUGAUAUGCGACAGUCCCGAAUUAAUUUUGCGCAUAUGGGAGCGAAUGGUUAACGAGCAACUAGACCUGGUAAUGUGCAUGGAAAAUGGAACCACCGAAAUGAAAUUAAUCACAAAUGUAGCAUCUUAUCAAAAACCAAUCAAUGAUAAGACUAAUGAAUCAAAAGGUUCUUCGUUUUGGAUUUGGAUCCUGGCACCGAUACUACUAAUAGCACUUGGAAUUGGAAUUGGGUAUAUGUUAUACACAUGUUACAUUCAUAUAUACCUUAAACAUGUUAAUCAAUCACAUCAACUUGAUACAUUGAUACAAUAGAUACAUAUA